CUCUGAAAGGGGGAUGGGAGAGCGAGCAGAAAGCAGAAAAACCAGCUUUGAACUAUGCAUGCAAGGCCUCCCUCAAGACUCAAAUUCUUGCGGAAGGCGCUGGAAUACACCUGUAGAGAUGACAAGCUUCCUGCUCCAAGUUCAUACGUGAUGAAAAUUAACUGCAGAAGACCCACUGCUAUGAAUUUAAGGCUCCAGAUUCUGUGUGCUCAUCUCCAGCCUGCUCCGUGACCACUAGGCUGUCCCACGACGUGCAGUUGACAUGCAAGGUGAGGAGCGUUGCCAACACUCAAGCAGAGGUGGUGGAUGAGUGUGAGGGCACACGCAGCGGAGCCAGGGGGGUCCCCUGUCAUCCGUGCAGGCUAACGGGUCGAGCUUGCCCAGGAGCCCUGUGGAGCUUGGCUGUGCUCGGCCCCAGCAGUGACGGCUGACAGCCACAAAGUGCUAUACACAUAAUGACCGUGACAAACAGCUGGGUACAGACAUGAGCAAAAACAACACCGCUGCUCCUACCCAGACAGGAGAACGGACUGUGCGUCUUACCGAAAGAAGCUUUUUGCACUAGGACUGGGUGAUCUGGCCAAUACACGGAGCAGACCGAGUCCAGGGGUAUCGACAGCCACCACAGGGCGCACGCUGAGGUAAGGCUUCCAACGUCUGGGACAACACAGUUACCCGAACACCUGCCGCCUCUCCCUCUGGCCUCCCUCCAGAGCGCUCUCCUCGGGACGGAACGAGCAGAGUGAGCGUCUAGCAAAGAAAACCUGGCUCCAUCACCCCCUCCACCUUAAGGGCUGUCUCCAAACUCCCGCAAUCGCGGUCACCACCUCCCUGCUCGGGCUGGGCCUGGCGGCCCGCUCUCCACGCUCAGGUCCUGGCGAGGCCCUCCCCGCUGCCCAGGAGUCGCUCCUGGCCCCCUCGGCUGUAACUCCGUCCCUCUGCCAACCCCGAGGGGACGCCCCCGCACAGGGACCCGUAGCUGGGGGUGGGGGCGGGGCUGUCCGGCUGUGACACCGUGCGGGCCGGUUCCCUGAGGGACACGGGGCUGCCCGGGUCCCGACAGCAGGCUGAGGCGCCUGCGAGGUCUGAGGGCUGCUCUGAGGACGUGCGAAGACCCGAAGGGGAGGAGCUCUACGUGUGGGUGUGCGCGCGCGCGCACGUGUGUAUGUGCGUGUGUGUGCGCGUGC